UCUUUUAAAAAAAAGAAGCCUGUGAUGGUGCCGCACUGUUGGAAGAGUGAGCACUCCAUGCCUUCACCAAACUUUGGCUGUGUGCACUACUUUGGUGUUUGAGCAAGAACUUUGAGCAAUGUUUUGUGCCUCUGAGAGUCCUGAUGAGUUGGUCCUAGUUUGGAAACAAACAGU
rnacentral:snoRNA from 1 species